GUGAACGCUGGCGGCGUGCCUAACACAUGCAAGUCGAACGAUGAUUAAGAGCUUGCUCUUAUGAUUAGUGGCGCACGGGUGAGUAUACCAUAGAUAAUGUACCCCUUAGUUCGGGAUAGCCACUGGAAACGGUGAUUAAUACCGGAUACUCCUUCUCAUUAUAAGAUGAGUCGGGAAAGUUUUUUCGCUAAGGGAUCAGUCUAUGUCCUAUCAGCUAGUUGGUGAGGUAAUGGCUCACCAAGGCUAUGACGGGUAUCUGGUUUGAGAGGAUGAUCAGACACACUGGAACUGAGACACGGUCCAGACUCCUACGGGAGGCAGCAGUGAGGAAUAUUGCACAAUGGAGGAAACUCUGAUGCAGCAACGCCGCGUGGAGGAUGACGCAUUUCGGUGUGUAAACUCCUUUUAUUAGGGAAGAUAAUGACGGUACCUAAUGAAUAAGCACCGGCUAACUCCGU
rnacentral:rRNA from 1 species